AUUGAACGCUGGCGGCAGGCCUAACACAUGCAAGUCGAGCGGAUGCAGGGAGCUUGCUCCUGGAUUCAGCGGCGGACGGGUGAGUAAUGCCUAGGAAUCUGCCUGGUGGUGGGGGAUAACGUCCGGAAACGGGCGCUAAUAUCGCAUACGUCCUGAGGGAGAAAGUGGGGGAUCUUCGGACCUCACGCUAUCUGAUGAGCCUAGGUCGGAUUAGCUAGUUGGUGGGGUAAAGGCCUACCAAGGCGACGAUCCGUAACUGGUCUGAGAGGAUGAUCAGUCACACUGGAACUGAGACACGGUCCAGACUCCUACGGGAGGCAGCAGUGGGGAAUAUUGGACAAUGGGCGAAAGCCUGAUCCAGCCAUGCCGCGUGUGUGAAGAAGGUCUUCGGAUUGUAAAGCACUUUAAGUUGGGAGGAAGGGCAGUAAGUUAAUACCUUGCUGUUUUGACGGUACCAACAGAAUAAGCACCGGCUAACUUCGUG
rnacentral:rRNA from 1 species